GGGCUCCGGCUUCCCCUUCGGCAGCUUUGGGAUGAUGUGGGUGCGACAGGCGCCCGGGAAGGGGCUGGAGUGGGUCGGGGGCAUCAACGGCCCGGGUGCCACCUACUACGCGCCCUCCUUUCAGGGCCGUGCCACCAUCUCCAGGGCUGAUGCCCAGAGCUCGGUCACGCUGCAGCUCAGCAGCCUCGAGUUGGGGGACACGGGCACCUACUACUGUGCCAAAGCCGAUGCCGGGCAGUACGGGCAUGUUGCUGGUGGCCCCGUCCCC